rnacentral:rRNA from 1 species
CCUGCGGAAGGAUCAUUAUUGAUUGUGAAUGGUUGCCUUCAGUGCUGGCUCCGGCAAGUGCACGCUGGUGACUUCAAUCCAAUACCCUUGUGAACCAUUGGCCUCUUGCUAGCUUCGGCUGGUAGAGGAUAUUUACACCAACUCGAAUGUAAUGAAAUUAUUGUUGUGCGCAAGCACUAAUGUACAACUUUCAACAACGGAUCUCUUGGCUCUCGCAUCGAUGAAGAACGCAGCGAAAUGCGAUAAGUAAUGUGAAUUGCAGAAUUCAGUGAAUCAUCGAAUCUUUGAACGCACCUUGCACCCUUUGGCAUUCCGAAGGGUAUGCUCGUUUGAGUGUCAUUGUACUCUCACACUUCCAAUUCUAUGGAUUGGGAGCGGUGGACUUGGGCGCUGCUGCUUUACUGUGGCUCACCUCAAAUGCAUUAGUGCAACCCUUGGUUAGACAUAGUACGGCGUGAUAAGUGUCUUCGCUGGCGCCUCACUUAGAGGGUGGCUGAUCAGGGGCUCUGUGCUUCAAACCGUCUUUGGACAAUGGCUGACAACUUGACCUCAAAUCGAGUAGGACUACCCGCUGAACUUAAGCAUAUCAAUAAGCGGAGGAAAAGAAACUAACAAGGAUUCCCCUAGUAACGGCGAGUGAAGAGGGAAGAGCUCAAAUUUUGAAUCUGGCGUCUUUGGCGUCCGAAUUGUAAUCUAGAGAAGUGUUUUCCGUGACGGACCGUGCAUAAGUCUCCUGGAAUGGAGUGUCAUAGAGGGUGAGAAUCCCGUAUAUGGCACGGACUCCCGUUGCUCUGUGAUACACUCUCGACGAGUCGAGUUGUUUGGGAAUGCAGCUCCAAAUGGGUGGUAAAUGCCAUCUAAAGCUAAAUAUUGGCGAGAGACCGAUAGCGAACAAGUACCGUGAGGGAAAGAUGAAAAGCACUUUGGAAAGAGAGUGAAACAGUACGUGAAAUUGUUGAAAGGGAAACGCUUGAAGUCAGUCGCGCCGUUCGGGAUUCAGCCUUGCUUCUGCUCGGUUUACUUCCCGUUGGGUGGGUCAACAUCMGUUCUAGACGGAGGAGAAAGGCUUGGGGAAGGUAGCAGCAUUCGUGCUGUGUUAUAGCCCCUUGUUGUAUACUUCGAUUGGGACUGAGGACUGCAGCACGCCUUUGGCCGGGGUUCGCCCACGUACGUGCUUAGGA